ensembl:snoRNA
GCUGGUGUGUAUGAUGAUUAAACUUUUUUCCCCAUCAGAUCGACCAUGUUGAUCAUAACUAUUCUUUGCCAGUUUUCCUGACACACCAGC